GUAUGAACAUACCUUGAAUGCAGCCACACAGGUUCCCCAUAAGAAAAAUCAAAAUCAGGGAAAAUGAAACCACAAAGGUUCAAUCUGCUCUGACCUUUGAAAAACUCAGCACAGAUAGUGGCACUUAGGACCAAGGGCAGCAGAUCCCUAAUCCCAUCACCAUGGCGAUAGGGCAUAAACAUUCCAGGGUGAAGGCACAAUCCACACUGUGAGGUCCAACUGCUGCCAUGCAGACAGGUGUGCUUUCACAGCUUCAGGAAGGUCUUCCACGAGUUCUUCCAGAAGAAAGCCUUGUUAUCAUAGAGAAUGACAGCUGCAUGUAUGUUAUUGCCACUGAAGACCCUGAAGUCCUUUCACUUGGACAAGAUUUCGAGAUGGAAGACAGUGAUAUUGAUUAUCCUGACCCUUACAGGGCUAAGCUAGUGUGUGUGUUUGUAUCUUAGUUUUUAACAAAAAUGUUUAAAACAUAAAAAAUCAAAAUAAAUGAAGCUUAUCAAAUAAGGAUAUAAAGUAUUUCUGUACAGCUGUUCAAUGUGUUUUUGUUUUAAGAUGUGUUAUUAUCAAAGAAUCAAAAAAUUAAAAAAAUUAAAAGUUUAUAAAGUUAUGAUAAGCUAAGAUGAACUUGUUAAAGAAAAAAUUUAAAUACAUUUAGUGUAGCCUAAGUGUACAGUGCAUAUAAAGUCUAUAGUUAUGUACAGUAAUAUCCUAGGCCUUCGCAUUCACUCACCAAGUACUCACUGACUCAUCAGAGCAACUGCCAGUCCUGCAACCUCUGUU
rnacentral:lncRNA from 1 species